rnacentral:lncRNA from 1 species
AGCGACUGUCCUCCCUUCUGGUGUACUGGGUGGGAGGUGGAACUAGUCGGACAAAGCCCUCGCGUCGGACCCUUGCCAGAACUCAAUUAAUGGAUGCCUCGAAGUUGACGUACAUAUAUAUUCAGAAAUGUUUUGCCACCUGAGACCUAUGAGGAGGUUAUGUCUAGAGAAGAUAUUUCCACACUGGUUUCCCUUUUCAAGAGCUUUAUCGGGAGCUGAAGCAGUCAAUGCCUUGAGGCCUUUCUAUUUUGCAGUACAUCCAGAUUUCUUUGGACAGCACCCCGUAGAAAGGGAAAUCAAUGAAAAUUCUCUUAAAAGGUUAAGUGUCUACCUAGAAAACCUCCAGAAACCAGGCUUCAAGUCUUUGAAACCAACUCAGCUUACAUUUUAUGUAAGAGAAACAGACCAGAGUUCCUCCGAUGGCCAGGAACCUUUUAGUACUUCCGUUUAUCUGUUGAACAUAUCCAAAGCUUGAAUACUAAUAUGCAUACCCAGCCUCUCAAAGAAGCUAAAAGGAUGCCUGACAGGCCCAUCAAAUGGGACAAGUCUUAUUACUCCUUUACUGGAUUCAAGGACCCUGAUGAAGACCUUGAACAAGUCUCGAGAGUGGAAACAACUCUCACGUAUGUAAAAGUUUUUAUCUAACUAAACUGUAUUUGUAGUUUGUGUUUAUGACACUGAUUUAUUGGGAUGGCAAAAACAUUUUUUUAUAAAUAAAAAGUGUAGUUCACAUUUAAAAUUAAAACCUAAUUUUCCAGGAAAAGUAAUACUAUCAGUCUAGUUAAUCCAGUAAU